UUUUUUAUGAAAAUGAGAUUUUCCUGAGAGAGUAUUGGUUAUUACUCGGUUGAUUUGCACCUGGUUGCUGGUCAUGCGACUCGCAUCAGUGCGAAUAUCUUUCCGAUUCAAGCUUGAAGGCUUCAACCUUCCAGCAGCAAGCCGUGCAACCAAUCUUCGACGGACACUUAAGCUCGCUCACAAGACAAUCGACUGUCGACAUCCUUCAAUCUCCAGCAACCCUCAGCGCCGGCUGCAACCAUAUUGAUUUUUAAGGAACGACAAUUUGAGUUUGAGAAAUUGGCGUGGACCAUAUUAUAGUUCAGAAGAGCAGUGCACAGGGUUUCUCUGUAUGCCUCUCAGAUUGUGUUCUAUUAGAAAAUUGCCUUUGUCUCCUCCUUGUCAAGGAUAUAUCAAUCAAAAUUCUUUUUUGGAGCUUUCUUUUAAGUGCAAUUCUUGUCAAAUUAGUGUUUUGGAAGCCUCUUUUAAAAGGUGAGAAUUAGUGAAAUUGAGUUCUUAAUAAUAGGAGGCAUUACUUUAUCUUAACAUUAGAAGGUACAAAUCAAUAGUGCGUUGAAUGUGUCCUUUCAAUUUGGGAAAUCGUGUUUUCACCCUUAUUUUUAUUAGAAUGACUCAGAAUCUGUUGUGUUAAUGCCAGCUUUUGCAAUCCAACUUGAAACGCACUAUAUAAGGCCAGGCAGUUUAUGCCCAUUUCCUCCAUCCGCUCUUGACUAUCACUGGAGCUUGUCUCUUAUUUAGCAUGGGGAAGCAGAUAUAAUAUUGGUUUUCAAGGAAUUACGUCCACCUAUGAAGGUGUAAUUCCCUCUCUGGAAGGCUUUGUGCAUUGCCUGUGGCAGUGAAGAAAGCUCAGACACCUCUACAAAAGAGGGCUAACAGCAUUAAAGGAUUCAAGAUGAAAGGAAGUGAUGAUGUUUAUCUGAUUCUCUACACAACACAGUUUAAUCUUUCCAUGUCGAUCCCAUUAAUCAAUUAUUGACAUAUUUCAUUCGCCAUAGUUCAUGGUAGCCAUUUUUUCAUUGGACUUCUCUUAGCCAGAGCUCCAAAAGCGGUAGAUUAGUACUUGGCUUGAUUGAGCAACUGCAUUAAGUGCUUAUUGAAUUUUAGUUGAGGCA